CCUACGGGUGGCAGCAGUGGGGAAUAUUGCUCAAUGGGGGAAACCCUGAUGCAGCGACGCCGCGUGAGUGAAGAAGUCAUUCGUUGUGGUAAGCUCUAUCAGCAGGGGAGCAAAUGACGGUACCUGAGUAAGAAGCCCCGGGUAACUACGUGCAAGCAGCGGCGGGAAUGCGUAGGGGGCAAGCGUUAUCCGGAUUUACUGGGUGUUAAGGGGGCGUAGACGGGAGUGCAAGUCUGGAGGGAAAGGCGGGGGCUCAACCCCCGGACUGCUCUGGAAACUGUACGUCUGGAGUGGAGGAGAGGUAAGCGGAAUGCGUGGUGUAGCGGUGAAAUGCGUAGAUAUUACGAGGAACACCAGUUGCGAAGGCGGCUUACCGG
rnacentral:rRNA from 1 species